rnacentral:rRNA from 1 species
AGCGAACGUUUGCGGCGGGCCUAACACAUGCAAGUCGAACGCACUAGCAAUAGUGAGUGGCGCACGGGUGCGUAACACGUGGGUAAUCAACCCUUCAGCUUGGGAUAACGACUUGAAAGGGUCGCUAAUACCGGAUACGGCGCGGGAGGCUUCGGCUUCUCACGAGAAAGCCUCGCAAGGGGCACUGAAGGACGAGCCUGCGGCCCAUCAGCUAGUUGGUGAGGUAAGAGCUCACCAAGGCGAAGACGGGUAGCUGGUCUGAGAGGAUGAUCAGCCACACUGGAACUGAGACACGGUCCAGACUCCUACGGGAGGCAGCAGUGGGGAAUAUUGCGCAAUGGGCGAAAGCCUGACACAGCCACGCCGCGUGAGCGAUGAAGGCCUCGGGUCGUAAAGCUCUGUGGGGAGAGACGAAGAAAGCCCGUGAAGAGCGGGCCGUUGACGGUAGUCUCCUUAGCAAGCACCGGCUAACUCCGUGCCAGCAGCCGCGGUAA